UCAGAUCAUCUAACAGUCAAGUGAAAGAGAAAGAAAUAAGACAGCCUGUAAUUCACUAAAAGUUUCUGUCCUUGAAUGGAGCUAGAAAUCCUGAUAUGAUCAUUUUUCUAUAGUGUUUAGAAUGGAUACUACUACCCAUGGCCAGCAAAAUGAAGAUGACCGAUACAGGUGAUGGAGUGAUGGGUAGAGCCACGGUGCCGUAGUAGUAACGAUGUGCUAACAAGGUGAACAAAGACGUACCAGUGAACCUCAGGAAUUUGUAAGGAGGAAUCAGAGAAUUCUGGAGUGCGGAAACUGAGGCGCAAGGAGAUUAAACAAAAUCAAAUGAUCCAGCAUUUUGUGGCAGAACCAGGAUCCAAAUCUACGUCUCUGACUCCAGAGACCUCAGUACACUUCCGAGCACUGGUCGACAAUGUUAUUAAUAUGGACUCCGGCUUGCACACCCUUUCUGGUUACCUCAGACUUCCAUACUUAUUUGUCCCUCUUAUUAUACACACAUAUCCCUGCUGAUAAAAAAAAAAUAUUGGCUUCAAAGUAUAUUUGCUUUAAGCAAGAGGAAUAAGAAAAACAUUCUGGCAACUUGCCUUUCCUUUUAUAUUGCAAAUUUACAAAAUAAAAGGAA